UGAAAAUAUUUAUUCAUCAUUCUUCUAAAUAGCCCAAUCACUUAACAAAGAAAUGCCUCAAAGGCCAAGGCCAAGCAUGGGUGUCAUUUUCAUCAGGGAAUCAGUAGAUAGGCUCAUCCCUGAGAUCCAAGAAGACAUGGUGAGGCAAGAGAGGAACAUUCACUGUAUCGCACGCAUAUUGCAGAUUCUCCUUUGUAGGGACGGUUCAAAUAUUUACCACAGUAUUAACCCAGAAUACUCCCUCCUUGUGAUCCUUCUCCCCAUGUAAUUAAUUCUUUUUGUUUCGUUAAUGAAAAAAAGAUGUAUGUUAUUAGGAGGGGAGUUAUUUAAUAAAAUAAUUAACUUAAGUUUCUAUCUAUUUAAUUUUCUAUUUUUAUUUUUGUGUAUCGUUGUUUUUUAUUUGAAAGCAAAGGCCCCAAAAUAAAAUAAUGAUGUUUCAAUAGAAACAUACAGCUCAGGGGAUACAAAUUUGAGUCUUUCAAUUAUUUGAAUUACCCACCAAUGAUGUGAAAUUUUGCUAGAGUUGUAGAAUAAACCUACUGUAUAUA
rnacentral:lncRNA from 1 species